GUGCUCUCAGUCAGGGUAUUUCCUGAAAAAGGAGGGACACGAAUCCCCAAGAGGCAAAUUCCUGGGAACAUUACACUCAGGCACUGGGUAAUUCAGGCUAAGAGAUAACAAUUGGCAUUAGCGAUGUUGCUAAUGAAGUAAAAGGGGUUAGCCGACAGUCUGCUUCGGAGGCUUGUAUCCGCUGUAAAACAAAUGGGUUCCGUCAUUGUUUUUGCUACUGGGCAGCCAAAUUUAUAUUUUCAGGCUGGUGCCUGAGAGCGUUUCCACGGAGUACUUCCCUCAAAGCCGGCCACGAUGCGCUCAGAGCUUCUACAUGUUUUCUAGCGUAUUGAUUUUCCGCUGGUGUUUCCUGCCUGACCUAUAAAUCAGGGAUCAGAACCGCGGGGGUACUGGCGGACCGAAGACGUGUGAUAUUUGGCGCUCGCGGAACCCGCGGCAAGCGGAGGGGAGAGACAGAGACCGUCGAGGGCGACAAUGAAAGGCCUAUUACAUUUCAGAAAACUCUCUUUUAUACUCCAGAAAGAAAGUAUCGCGCAAAUUUAAACUGUACUCGGCCAUUCUGUACGCCGCGGACCGAAUGGAAAAAAAAGAACUUUUCGCACCGGGAGGUAACUUAAACUUGCCCUGUAGGCAUCUGCCCGACGGUCAGGCUGGGACCCCUGCUGUCUGCCCCCCCCCCUGCCUGCAGGACAGAGGUCGAUUCACCUUAUCAGACCCGGGCUCACUUAACAUGCAGCAUCGCGCCGGGAUGAAGAGUCGAAAGCCAGAAGCUCCUACGCUAAUCGGCGCGGCCUGGAGAACAAGCCGCUCUCCCGGGCUGCACAUGCAGGCGGCUUGUUUAUCGAAGCUUUGCAGCGCGCCGUCGCGUAAGCUGUGAACAGCUACACUGCAGAUAUCCGUACGGUCAACUUGUGACUCUCACACCGCUAAUACCUCCUCCGACAAUGAAACAGACCCACACAUCGCUCCAUCAUUACCUACUGCUGCAGCUUGCACUGUCUGAAUUAAACGCAAUGAAUUGUACAUUAAAACGUUUGAGCGUGAUUAAUUAGCAGUAUAAAUGACUCUACAGCCAUUGGCUGAAGCAAAAAAUAUUGAUAUAAAUUCUGAACAAAUUGGAAUAACGAUUGAACAGUUUGUGUCUUGGGAUGCUGGCUCGGGAAAAAUUAUUUGUAAGGUCUAUUUUCUUUCAUUGCCUCUACAGGAAGCCAAUUCCCUUUUGUAUAAAAAGAUUACCCUUAAUCCUUAGC